UUUUGGGUCCACACCUCUGCUUCCUGCUACUUCACUCAUCCCUUUGACACAGUCUUCUAAGGCAAAUUCAGAAAUACUUUGAUCCCUGAAGCCUGGGGUUGCAGAUCUCUAUCACUGAUGUCUACAACGCAGUAGUUCAACCAGUGUCCUGCGUCUCCCUCCAAUAAAAUUCGACAACCCAUUAAAAGGCUGA